rnacentral:lncRNA from 1 species
GUCCUCCAUCGAGCUGAAGUCUCAAAGCUCUCACAACAGAAAAAGCUUGCUCGCAAUUGGGAAGGACCUUACAAAAUUACCGAAGUAAUUUGAUCUGGAGCUUAUAGAAUCAAAAAUUUGGAUGGCUCAACCAUUCCACGAACUUAGAAUACUGAAAAUCUAAAAAUGUACUAUCAAUAAGCCUUCAAUAAAAUUUUCUUCCAUGACUCAAUUCUCAUCCAAA